CCUAGGAAGAUCGACUUUCCUGAGGAUCGACUUCCCUGGGAUCGACUUUUCUUAAAAGUCGAUCCCAGGGAAGUCGAUCCUCAGGAAAGUCGAUCUCUGGAAA
rnacentral:pre_miRNA from 11 species